rnacentral:rRNA from 1 species
GGAGGGUGCAAGCGUUAUCCGGAUUCACUGGGUUUAAAGGGUGCGUAGGUGGGUCUGUAAGUCAGUGGUGAAAUCCCCGAGCUUAACUUGGGAACUGCCGUUGAUACUAUAGAUCUUGAAUAUCGUGGAGGUAAGCGGAAUAUGUCAUGUAGCGGUGAAAUGCUUAGAUAUGACAUAGAACACCAAUUGCGAAGGCAGCUUACUACACGAUCAUUGACACUGAGGCACGAAAGCGUGGGGAGCAAACAGGAUUAGAUACCCUGGUAGUCCACGCCCUAAACUAUGGAUACUCGACAUCAGCGAUACACAGUUGGUGUCUGAGCGAAAGCAUUAAGUAUCCCACCUGGGAAGUACGAUCGCAAGAUUG